UCUCAUGGAUGAGCAAAGAAAGUAGUUUCUUGAGAUGGAAUGUACUUCUGGUGAAGAUGCCAUGAA
rnacentral:pre_miRNA from 1 species